GAUGAACGCUGGCGGCGUGCCUAAUACAUGCAAGUCGAGCGAACAGACGAGGAGCUUGCUCCUCUGACGUUAGCGGCGGACGGGUGAGUAACACGUGGAUAACCUACCUAUAAGACUGGGAUAACUUCGGGAAACCGGAGCUAAUACCGGAUAAUAUAUUGAACCGCAUGGUUCAAUAGUGAAAGACGGUUUUGCUGUCACUUAUAGAUGGAUCCGCGCCGCAUUAGCUAGUUGGUAAGGUAACGGCUUACCAAGGCAACGAUGCGUAGCCGACCUGAGAGGGUGAUCGGCCACCCUGGAACUGAGACACGGUCCAGACUCCUACGGGAGGCAGCAGUAGGGAAUCUUCCGCAAUGGGCGAAAGCCUGACGGAGCAACGCCGCGUGAGUGAUGAAGGUCUUCGGAUCGUAAAACUCUGUUAUUAGGGAAGAACAAAUGUGUAAGUAACUAUGCACGUCUUGACGGUACCUAAUCAGAAAGCCACGACUAACUACGUG
rnacentral:rRNA from 1 species